AGAGAUGAGGAGCAGCUGCUGUAAAACACAUUCACAGUUUACUGUACACCAGUGGUUCUCAACGUUGGUACGGAUACCACCGGGGUACGCCAGUUCCCGCUAGUGAGGCGCUUCAGACGGUUCUCACAGUACGACGUGGCCAAAUCCAGCAGCCCUAAGAGAGCAGAGAUAAUAACAUGAGAGAAGCUUCCACAUGACUGAGGGCGUGGCGAAGCAGGCGAACACAUCGUCGGUGCAGGUGAAGUGUGUGAGGAGGGGCAG